CUUUCUUUCAUUCAAGUGGUAAUUCUAUUCAAGAUGCCCUCAGUUUGGUGGAACUCAUGUAGUCAGUUUUAUAUUAUGAGAUUGAUUUCUUAAUUUUUGGCCAGCGGGAAUGGUCUUCUGUCAUUCCAAACCUCUCCUUCAAAGAAACUUGAUGUCCAUUCUAAGUCACAUGUCCUAUUUCUGAGAACAAAUUUUGCUCCGAAGGAUACACGCUAGUCAAGAAAGCUACGUUGGGCUACCCCAGUGAGAGUAUUACAAAAAUUAGCAGCUUGUUCAUGAUGAUAAUGCUCUGAUGGCUAUUGAGUUAGUGAAAAAUGUGUGUAGAUGAAGAUUGAAAAGAAAUCGGGAAGAGGCUCCAAAUAUUGACAUAAUCUUCUCCAUUGAUGGCAACACAAUCUGUGGCCAUACAUGAAUGCCAGUAGGUCCUGCUUUUGGUGCUCUCACAUCAUCAGUUUUGUUUGGGAUAUUGGUGGACAAUUGGCCUGCCAAAAAUGCUAAGAAAGAUGAAACUGCUUCGACAACAAAUUUAAGCUGCUAAUAUUGAUAAUCCUCUGAAGAAUAUCAAGAUAGCAUAAAUCUGGCUUUGUCCAUAAUGGAGACAGGUGAGGGGGAUGCACUUCAAUGCAGAAGUAGUCUUCCCAAUUGGUAAUCAGCUAGUGUCCUCCAAAAGACAGGAGAGAAGCAAUGCUGAAUGUGGGUGUGCAGAACAUGCUAUUUUUGUGGAGAGUCAUUUCCAUUCGUCAAACCAGCUUGAAGUCAAUGCCGAUAUUCAUGUUAACCUGGAAGUUUUGGUGUUUUUCUUCAUUUUCUUCCUUGUUAUUCUAAUGGAAAUUUUGCUAGAACCUAAACGUUUGAUGUUAAUACGAGGCACCCUAAUCAAUUUCCAGAAGUCAGGAGAUUAUUCUGAGCUUCUCAAUUUCUAUACUCCUUUUUGGACUGGUAAGAAUGAUUAUUACGAGGCACCCAA